CCCUUAGAUGUUCUGGGCUGCACGCGCGCUACACUGAUGCGUUCAACGAGUGUAUCACCUUGCCCGAUAGGGUUGGGUAAUCUUUUGAACACGCAUCGUGAUGGGGAUAGAUUAUUGCAAUUAUUAAUCUUCAACGAGGAAUUCCUAGUAAUGAUGGAUCAUCAGUUCAUCGUGAUUACGUCCCUGCCCUUUGUACACACCGCCCGUCGCACCUACCGAUUGAAUGGUCCGGUGAAAUCUCGGGACGGCGGCUUGGUCGCUUGCGUCCGACUGCUGAAACUUGAUUAAACCAUAUCAUUUAGAGGAAGGUGAANUCGUANCA
rnacentral:rRNA from 1 species